GCUGGGUGUAGUGGUGUGCACCUGUAGUCCCAGCUACUCAGGAGUCUGAGUCAGGAGGAUUGCUUGAGCCUGGGAGUUCGAGGGUGCAAUGAGCUAUAAUUGCAUCACUGCACUCUUGUCUGGGUGACAGAGUGAGACCCUGUCUCCA
ensembl:misc_RNA Metazoa_SRP Metazoan signal recognition particle RNA